rnacentral:rRNA from 1 species
GACGAACGCUGGCGGCGUGCCUAAUACAUGCAAGUCGAGCGCUUCUUUCCUCCCGAGUGCUUGCACUCAAUUGGAAAGAGGAGUGGCGGACGGGUGAGUAACACGUGGGUAACCUACCCAUUAGAGGGGGAUAACACUUGGAAACAGGUGCUAAUACCGCAUAACAGUUUAUGCCGCAUGGCAUAAGAGUGAAAGGCGCUUUCGGGUGUCGCUGAUGGCUGGACCCGCGGUGCAUUAGCUAGUUGGUGAGGUAACGGCUCACCAAGGCCACGAUGCAUAGCCGACCUGAGAGGGUGAUCGGCCACACUGGGACUGAGACACGGCCCAGACUCCUACGGGAGGCAGCAGUAGGGAAUCUUCGGCAAUGGACGAAAGUCUGACCGAGCAACGCCGCGUGAGUGAAGAAGGUUUUCGGAUCGUAAAACUCUGUUGUUAGAGAAGAACAAGGACGUUAGUAACUGAACGUCUCCUGACGGUAUCUAACCAGAAAGCCACGACUAACUACGUG